CCUGCGAACAACUACGGUAGGAAUGCUCCCCGAUCCCCCGUUCGAUCUCGGACAGAUAAGCCUGCGUCCGGGCCCGGUUAGUACUUUAGAUGGGUGACCGCUUUGGAACCAACCCGGGUUGCCAAGC
rnacentral:rRNA from 1 species